ACACAAAGGAAAAGGGACUCAACAGAAAGAAAACGCGAGCACCCCAAACGACCUACUGUUCCGGCAACACUGUCCCGUCUCCUUACCACCUGCUCGUUUUCGUCCAGCUGAGCAGCGUCACCCAGGAGCUUCUGCUCCGUCGACCAUCUUCCAAACGACUAAACAGACCUUGUUCCGUCUCCCGUUAACCCACCAGCGAACGGACAGGCCCGUCGCCAUCCUCGCCUCGUCAAGGAACCAGUAGCGCUACUGCUGCUGCCUUCUUCACGUCGGCAUUGAUAAAGCAGCUGCUGCUUCAUUUUCAUUGCUGUUCGUCUACUUCACAGUCCAUUGCAUCGUCUAUCACCAAGCUGUCCAGUUCACGUAGAACCCAAAACCAGCAAACUCCAGCUUCGACCUCACAAUAACACAUACACCUAGGAAUAAUGGAGCGCAGAAAUGGUGAUGUGAGCGCGAGAGAUUUUCAGGUUCAACCCGUUGAGGUCCGUUCGUAGUUUCGUCGAGGUUCGAGUUUUCCGGUCAGUUGGUUCCGGCUUCGUUGUUCUAUCCGCAUCAAUUUGUUCGACGUGUUUCAUGGUUAGUUUGCUCAAAUGAAGAAAACUAAAUAAAUAUUUGUCUACUUGAUUUUUCAUGUUUUACUGUUGUUUGUAUUUAAACUUAUGUUAUAUUGUUGGUAGAAAUAAGUAAAUGUGCUAUAAUGUGUAUUUAGUAAAUUGUAUCACUUUGUUAAAUUGUUAUAUAUUGUUUAUCGUUUAGGUGAGAUAAUGAUUGUUUAAUGUAAAUUAUCCGAUUGGACAACCUCAAUGAAUAAAUUAGGAUUUCC
rnacentral:lncRNA from 1 species